AGUGAACGCUGGCGGUAGGCCUAACACAUGCAAGUCGAACGGCAGCACAGUAAGAGCUUGCUCUUACGGGUGGCGAGUGGCGGACGGGUGAGGAAUACAUCGGAAUCUACUUUUUCGUGGGGGAUAACGUAGGGAAACUUACGCUAAUACCGCAUACGACCUACGGGUGAAAGCAGGGGAUCUUCGGACCUUGCGCGAUUGAAUGAGCCGAUGUCGGAUUAGCUAGUUGGCGGGGUAAUGGCCCACCAAGGCGACGAUCCGUAGCUGGUCUGAGAGGAUGAUCAGCCUCACUGGAACUGAGACACGGUCCAGACUCCUACGGGAGGCAGCAGUGGGGAAUAUUGGACAAUGGGCGCAAGCCUGAUCCAGCCAUACCGCGUGGGUGAAGAAGGCCUUCGGGUUGUAAAGCCCUUUUGUUGGGAAAGAAAAGCAGCAGGUUAAUACCCCGCUGUUCUGACGGUACCCAAAGAAUAAGCACCGGCUAACUUCGUG
rnacentral:rRNA from 1 species